GAUGACUAAUCAUGUAGCAGAUCUGAACAUAAAGGUUCUAGUGAAAAAAUAAAAAUUACAAUAAAAGUGUAUUUGCUCCCUGAUUUGAAAGUACAGAAUGUUUUCUGUGCCUUUUAGAUAUGGGGAACUAUGACACUCAAAACAAUGGUAACCAUGGCGAAAGUACCUUACAAAAUAAAUGAAAAAAAAGAAAGAGAGAGAGAGAUGUGGGGAAAGAGUAGGAAGCAGUUGGUGAAGUAACAGGCUGGUUCCACAUUGUGACUUAGGAAAAAUUCCUGGCUAACUUAGGCUUUAAGAAAAAUCAAGAUGGAUCCUAAGAAGAUUAAGAAGAGAACUUAAAAGACUGCAAUAAAGUCUCUAUCUUAGUAUUAUAACUAACUGCUUCAUUUCUCAUGGAAAUUUCUGUUUGGAGGGAGCAUUCUGUAUCCUUGAAGUAGACAGAAUUGUGAAACACUCUUAAACCAUUGAGCAGCAGAAAUUAGAGACCAAGUUUGCAACCAGCCAGUCAUUUGCAAUAUCUGCAGAUACUGUCAUUCCUCUAGAAGUGGAAUUCCUCUAGUAGAAGCCGCCUUAGCCAUCUUUCUGAAAUAAUUCCUCCAUUCCAUUCCUUCAUCCAUUCUGACCCUAGAGGUUCAAUAUAUAUUGAAGCUUAUUUUUAAAUAGAAGGGAAAUAAAACUACUUACAUCUGAGAUUCAGGCUUAUA